GCCAUUCAGGACACACCUGCACCUGGUUGCCAAUCUAGAAGCAUCGUCAGCAGGAUCAGUCUUGCUUUACACUUGUAUUUCAGCUCAUUCUAUUCAUUUGGAAGACAAAAACUAAAGAUUUUGAUGUUUGCCGCCAUCUUUACACAAGAACCUUGAUGUUUAGAGCAGGAAGCUCCUCCUCCUUUCCAAGGUAGGACACAUUAUGAGGGCGCACAGUGGCAUCCGGGUUGACCCCGCAGGUGUGUUUGUGUGCCUCUGAUGAUGUCAUGUGACCACACACCUGCUGCCUGGAGGUUUCAAAUGUCAUCAGCAGGCGAGAAGUACAGGUUUGGGAGAACCUGCCGGUCCUGGCGGGUUGUUUGCAGCCGAAUACACGAGGGACCCUUGGGAGAAGUGGCGAGUCCUGUGCCUGGCAGUUCUUUCCAUCGAAGACCUUGACAAUAUUUAUCUAUUUGGAACUGUGUUACCAGGUCAUCUACUGAUUGGAUUGAGCCUUGCUCUGGUCUAUCAACCAAUUCGGAAGACGAUGGCAGCCGUUUAGGGAGCCUAAAGCUGCCUGUUGCAAUGGACGGGGUUGGGCACUUGGCGAUCUUGGAAUUGAAUCUCUAAUUGGAUAACAUCUCGGAAAAGCUUUCCACUCAGCAAUGCCAAAUGUCCAAUUUGAGUGCCAGAAUGGACAAUCAGAGCUGACAAACCAGUGGAAUGUGUUUGAUCGCCCCAACCAAAAUCAAUCCUUGGCUACAAUUUGACUCCCUCGGCAAGUCCGUGCUGCAAAGACCCCAGCGAACGGCGUCCUGAAUAAAUCCCUCCCCCCUUUUUCAAAGACACCAUGGCUUACGGAGCAGCGCCCUGAUCAUCCCCCCCCCCCCGUUGCAAAUCUCAAGUUAUUUCCCGUUGCAAAUCUCAAGUUAUUUUGUGUGCUUGUCCGUAUGUGCUUAUUGUGCUCCAGGUUUUUUCCUGGUCUCAAACUGAGUCCACCCCCAGAGGGACUAGUUGUUUGAGCUGAUGUUUACUUCCUGUUCUGCAUACCCCUGUUUAUUGUCUGCUCUUGGGCGGUUGUACUGAAAGUUAAUCUGGUAUUUUUUUAAGUCCAAUGACAAUAAAGCUGUCAAAGGGCAGCACAGUGGUCACAAUACGAAGGUCCUGGGUUCAAUCCUGGGCUCGGGAUCUUUCUGUGUGGAGUUUGCAUGUUCUCCCCGUGACUGCGUGGGUUCCCUCCGGGUACUCCGGCUUCCUCCCACUUCCAAAAACAUGCACCUGGGGAUAGGUUGAUUGGCAGCACUAAAUUGUCCCUAGUGUGUGAAUGUGAGUGUGAAUGUUAUCUGUCUGUGUUGGCCCUGCGAUGAGGUGGCGACUUGUCCAGGGUGUACCGAAUGCAGCUGGGAUAGGCUCCAGCACCCCCCGCGACCCCGAAAGAAGACGGACGGACAAUAAAGCUGUUCUAUUCUAUCCUGGAAGUUGGGUUUGGUACCCAUCCAUAGUUCUACCUAGUCUUUGCAAAUAGCAGGGGUGUCCAAAGUGCGGCCCGCAGGUCAUUUUUUAACGGCCCCACGGCACAUUUUAAAAAUACGAAUGAAAAAAACGUAAAACAUGAUAAGUGGUAUAAAAGAGCAAACAGGUGAAAUGUAACAGGAAAAUGUUACUCAAAUAACACAAAGCUGCCAUGCAGGCUGUUUCUUUCUUUAAAAAAUAAUAAUGAAUCAAAAUCAAUGUCAUUAUUAAUUAUUGACCUAUUCAAGGCUCCAAUGACGUCACAUCUGAGAUAUUUUUGGGGAACAUGUUGCAUAUUUUGUGUUUGCCAUAUAAAAAACUGAGCUGUUUUUUAUAAAGAAGGGCCUAAAACGAACAAACGAAAAACAUAAACAACAAUAAAACGUAUAAUUGACGGAUGGAUCUGAAGUUGAUCUCGAGAUUAUUGUGUUCAAAGUAAACCGUAAAAAAAAAAAAAAAUUGAAUUUAUUUUUUAACACUAUAAUUAUUUGGAUCCCCAAUAAUUUUAGUGUGAUUUGUUUUUAAGUGUCUUUGCUCAAAAAAUAAUAAUGAAUUAAAAUGAAUGUUGUUAUUCCUCAUGGUAAACUACCGGCCGGUGUCCCACCUUCCGUUUAUCUCGAAAAUUCUCGAAAAAAUUGUCGCACAGCAGCUAAAUGAACACUUAGCGUCUAACAAUCUCUGUGAACCUUUUCAAUCCGGUUACAGGGCAAAUCACUCUACGGAG